rnacentral:rRNA from 1 species
UACGAAGGGGGCUAGCGUUGCUCGGAAUCACUGGGCGUAAAGGGUGCGUAGGCGGGUCUUUAAGUCAGGGGUGAAUCCUGGAGCUCAACUCCAGAACUGCCUUGAUACUGAAGAUCUUGAGUUCGGAGAGGUGAGUGGAACUGCGAGUGUAGAGGUGAAAUCGUAGAUAUUCGCAAGAACACCAGUGGCGAAGGCGGCUCACUGGCCCGAUACUGACGCUGAGGCACGAAAGCGUGGGAGCAACAGG